rnacentral:misc_RNA from 1 species
GAAAUUGAAAGAAAAGAUGCUAGGGUACAACAGCUCUUUCAUAAUUUGCACCAUCCUUGUCCUCUUUCCUAACUUCUCUUCCUCGAAAUAGGAUGAAAACAAAAUACAGAAAAAUGAGUCUUAAUCAUUGUCCUUCGCUGACUUGUCAUCCUUGUUAGCAUCAACUCUCUUUCUUAUGCGAUUUUCAGGAUUUAUCUCAGUGGUAUUCUUGCUUGACAUGUACCUAGCCAUGUUGUGUUUCUUGAGGCUUGUGCUUUCAUGAUUAUUUCCAUUUUGGCAGUCCAACCAUACUCACCAGUGAGUUAGUGACCAAAUAGAAGGUUGUUCUUCCUUUGCUUCUCAUAUCAUUUUCAUUAAUUUUCAAACUUUCCUUGGUUGUAGAAACAAGCUUCUUGUCCUCAAACUCCUUAAGCUGACCAUGUAUGUGUGGCUGGUGGUGGCGGGGGAGGAGGAGGAAAAGGUGGUAGGUGUGGUGGUGGAGGAAGAGGACAAGGUGGAGGGGGAGCGGGGGGACAUGGUUAACCAUGUACAUGGUUUUUGAAGAUGGAAACGAAAGUGGUUUUUGAAGAUAAGGGUACAAUGUUUAU